rnacentral:misc_RNA from 1 species
UCGCGGCUUAUCACCGGCAGUCCCCCUAGAGUGCCCAACCGAAUGCUGGCAACUAGGGGCAAGGGUUGCGCUCGUUGCGGGACUUAACCCAACAUCUCACGACUCGAGCUGACGACAGCCAUGCAGCACCUGUGUAGGGCCCCGAAGGGAGACCGUGUUUCCACGGCUGUCACCUACAUGUCAAGCCCAGGUAAGGUUCUUCGCGUUGCGUCGAAUUAAACCACAUGCUCCGCUGCUUGUGCGGGCCCCCGUCAAUUCCUUUGAGUUUUAGCCUUGCGGCCGUACUCCCCAGGCGGGGCACUUAAUGCGUUAGCUUCGGCACGGAAGGAGUCGACACCACCCACACCUAGUGUUCAUCGUUUACGGCGUGGACUAC